GACGAACGCUGGCGGCGUGCCUAAUACAUGCAAGUCGAACGAGAGCGACCGGUGCUUGCACUGGUCAAUCUAGUGGCGAACGGGUGAGUAACACGUGGGUAACCUGCCCAUCAGAGGGGGAUAACAUUCGGAAACGGAUGCUAAAACCGCAUAGGUCUUCGAACCGCAUGGUUUGAAGAGGAAAAGAGGCGCAAGCUUCUGCUGAUGGAUGGACCCGCGGUGCAUUAGCUAGUUGGUGAGGUAACGGCUCACCAAGGCCGUGAUGCAUAGCCGACCUGAGAGGGUGAUCGGCCACAUUGGGACUGAGACACGGCCCAAACUCCUACGGGAGGCAGCAGUAGGGAAUCUUCCGCAAUGGACGCAAGUCUGACGGAGCAACGCCGCGUGAGUGAAGAAGGUUUUCGGAUCGUAAAACUCUGUUGUUAGAGAAGAACAAGUGCUAGAGUAACUGUUAGCACC
rnacentral:rRNA from 1 species